rnacentral:rRNA from 1 species
AACGAACGUUGGCGGCAGGCUUAAUACAUGCAAGUCGAACGGAUGUAGCAAUACAUUAGUGGCGCACGGGUGCGUAACGCGUAUGCAACCUACCUUCAUCAGGGGGAUAACUACCCGAAAGGGUGGCUAACACCGCAUAAUACUAUUGAGUGGCAUCACUUGAUAUUUAAAUCUGAGGAGGAUGAAGAUGGGCAUGCGUCUGAUUAGCUAGUUGGUGUGGUAACGGCGCACCAAGGCGACGAUCAGUAGGGGAACUGAGAGGUUGGUCCCCCACACUGGCACUGAGAUACGGGCCAGACUCCUACGGGAGGCAGCAGUAGGGAAUAUUGGUCAAUGGUGGGAACACUGAACCAGCCAUUCCGCGUGCAGGAAGAAGGGUCUCUGACUUGUAAACUGCUUUAGCAAGGGAAGAAAAAGCUCAUGCGUGAGAAAUUGACGGUACCUUGAGAAUAAGCACCGGCUAACUACGUGCCAGCCGCCGCGGUAACAC